rnacentral:SRP_RNA from 1 species
GCCAGGAGUGGUGGCCUGUAAUCCUUCCUGCUUGGGAGGCUGAGGCUGGUGGAUUGAUUGUGCCCAGGAGUUCUGAGCUGCAGUAGGGCUAAAGAAGGGUGUCCACGUUAAGGCUGGCACUAAUAUGAGUGGAAGGCCACCAGGCCACCUAAGGAGGGACGUACCGGCCCAGAUCUGAAGUAGAGCAGGCUGAAGCUCCCAUGAUAGUCAGUAGUGGGGUCAGCCAGCAGGUGGUCAAUGGACUUCCAGCCUUGGUGAGAUAAGGAGAACCUCAA